rnacentral:rRNA from 1 species
UACGUAGGGUGCAAGCGUUAAUCGGAAUUACUGGGCGUAAAGCGUGCGCAGGCGGUUUUGUAAGUCUGUCGUGAAAGCCCCCGGGCUCAACCUGGGAAUUGCGAUGGAGACUGCAAGGCUUGAAUCUGGCAGAGGGGGGGUAGAAUUCCACGUGUAGCAGUGAAAUGCGUAGAGAUGUGGAGGAACACCGAUGGCGAAGGCAGCCCCCCUGGGUCAAGAUUGACGCUCAUGCACGAAAGCGUGGGGAGCAACAGG